CGCAAUGGACGAAAGUCUGACGGAGCAACGCCGCGUGAGUGAUGAAGGUUUUCGGAUCGUAAAACUCUGUUGUUAGGGAAGAACAAGUACCGGAGUAACUGCUGGUACCUUGACGGUACCUAACCAGAAAGCCACGGCUAACUACGUGCCAGCAG
rnacentral:rRNA from 1 species